rnacentral:lncRNA from 1 species
CGCCGCAAGUGGAUAAUAUUAAUAGUGUAAAAAUAUGCAAGUGUUCGGUAAACAGGAAGUUGUCGAGUGAUGAAUCUGAAAACGCAUCACACGGUAUAGCUGACUUAUAUAAAUCCUGAAACCAAAUUUCAGAAAUCCUUGUAUUGUAGUUCCUGAGAAAAAUGUGACGAAAAUUUUCAACUUGGCUAUCAUGUGUAAAAUCAUACAAGUGUUCGGUAAACAGGAAGUUGUCGAGUGAUGAAUCUGAAAACGCA